rnacentral:tRNA from 1 species
CCUGUAGCUUAGUCCGGUUGGAGCGCCAGUCUUAUAAGCUGGAGGUCGGGGGUUCAACUCCCCCCAGGCCCA